GCCUACGGCCAUACCACCCUGAACACGCCCGAUCUCGGAAGCUAAGCAGGUUCGGGCCUGGUUAGUACUUGGAUGGGAGCAGGGCCGCCAUCAGGGGGUGACAACCAUGACGGUUGUCACGGGCC